GACGGAGGAUGCAAGCGUUGUCCGGAAUUAUUGGGCGUAAAGAGCUCGUAGGCGGUCUGUCGCGUCUGCUGUGAAAACCUGGGGCUUAACCCCGGGCCUGCAGUGGGUACGGGCAGACUAGAGUGCGGUAGGGGAGACUGGAAUUCCUGGUGUAGCGGUGAAAUGCGCAGAUAUCAGGAGGAACACCGGUGGCGAAGGCGGGUCUCUGGGCCGUAACUGACGCUGAGGAGCGAAAGCAUGGGGAGCGAACAGG
rnacentral:rRNA from 1 species